UAAACCGUACUCAUGCAAUGGAAAGUUAUCAGUAUAGGCUGUUAACUACAACUCGGUUGAAGAAUAAAUAAAAUAAUGCAAAGCAAGUUUUUCUCUUUACUUCUGAUUUCAUUCUUGGUUUCUCAGGCCAUUGGAAUCGUCGAUGCAGGAGUGACAGAACAUGUUAGAGGUCCUUCGGUCAAAUCGUUGACCAACAAUUUUGAACAGAAAAUAAAAGAAAAUGCUGCGCCAGUACAAAAAGACUCAUCUUCGCUUAGUCUUAAACAAAAAUUAGCACUAUUUGAACGAGAAAUUAAAAAAGCCACCCCAACUGAUCCAAAGACAAAAAUGGCAAAUAAGAAGUAAAUUUCAGCUGGAAAAUGCUAUUUUCAUCGAAGUUUCGUUCACAUUUCUUUACUUUGAUAGUAACAAUCCACAAAAUAUUUUCCAAAAAUCACAAAAAUGAAUUAUUGUAAUAAAGAAAAUAAAGAAGUGUCUGAUAAUUUUGCAAA